rnacentral:rRNA from 1 species
GAAUUCAACUCCUACGGGAGGCAGCAGUGGGGAAUUUUGGACAAUGGGGGCAACCCUGAUCCAGCAAUGCCGCGUGAGUGAAGAAGGCCUUCGGGUUGUAAAGCUCUUUUGUGCGGGAAGAUAAUGACGGUACCGCAAGAAUAAGCCCCGGCUAACUUCGUGCCAGCAGCCGCGGUAAUACGAAGGGGGCUAGCGUUGCUCGGAAUCACUGGGCGUAAAGGGUGCGUAGGCGGGUCUUUAAGUCAGGGGUGAAAUCUUGGAGCUCAACUCCAGAACAGCCUUUGAUACUGAAGAACUUGAGUUCGGGAGAGGUGAGUGGAACUGCGAGUGUAGAGGUGAAAUUCGUAGAUAUUCGCAGGAACACCAGUGGCGAAGGCGGCUCACUGGCCCGAUACUGACGCUGAGGCACGAAAGCGUGGGGAGCAAACAGGAUUAGAUACCCGAGUAGUCCAGGCGUU